rnacentral:rRNA from 1 species
UACGGAGGGAGCUAGCGUUAUUCGGAAUUACUGGGCGUAAAGCGCACGUAGGCGGCUUUGUAAGUAAGAGGUGAAAGCCCAGAGCUCAACUCUGGAAUUGCCUUUUAGACUGCAUCGCUUGAAUCAUGGAGAGGUCAGUGGAAUUCCGAGUGUAGAGGUGAAAUUCGUAGAUAUUCGGAAGAACACCAGUGGCGAAGGCGGCUGACUGGACAUGUAUUGACGCUGAGGUGCGAAAGCGUGGGGAGAAACAGGAU